GUUCUGGUACGCUUGUACCAGAACGUGCGCGGGACGGCGGGGACUGCCACCCGGCGCGCACGC
rnacentral:ncRNA from 1 species